ensembl:snoRNA
UUGGCCUUGAAUAAAGCCCAGCAGUUUGCUGACACUUAGUUUCAAGCAGGAGCCUAAAAAAUUAUUGUUCUGUGGUUUGUAGGCCACUUCAGAACUUUGGAAUUGUAAUGGUCAUUUCAUUAGAAAGAAACAUCU